GUUCCCUUGCGCAAGAGUUUAGUCCCCGCCUUCGCUCUUUACCUCCUGACGUUCUCCUUCACUUGGAAAGGCGUAAGUGAUGUAGUAAUACUCAACACACUGGGCUACAGUUUUUGUCUGGAUCUAGUGGAGGAAGACAGAAGCCGGCUAAGGACAGUGCCUCAGGAGCAGCAGGGACAGAGAAUCCCAAAGUCCUCCUGGGGAUGAAGGGGUUCAGAGAGAAGCCACCAGAGUCAACCCACCUAAGCUCUGCACGCUCUGAGCAACAAGGCUGGCCCAGGAACGCUUCUCUCCAGGAAAAUGCACACAAAGGUACACACAAGGAUGCUCACUGUGACAUCCUGUGGAGCCACAUGUCUACCGACUGGGACUAAUUAAAGCAGAGUGUCCUUACGUGGCGGAUACCUCAUGGACUUAUGCGACAGCUGGGCAGAGCCCUCCAAAAAACUGAAGAGGAAGGAACACUUCCCACCUCAUUCUGUAAGUUCAACAUUUCUCUGAUACCAAAGCCAGACAAAGAUAUUACAAGGAAAGAAAGUUACAGACCAAUGUCCCUCAUGAACAUAGAUGAAAAAUUUUAAACAAAACUUUUAACGAAUAGAAUCCAACAAUAUAUAUAUAUAUUUAUAAAGGACAAUAUACCAUGACUAAGUGGAGCCCAUCCCAGAAACGUGAGAUGGGUUGAACAAUCUAAAAUCAAUGUAGUUCAUCAUAUUAAACUUAAA